rnacentral:rRNA from 1 species
AUUGAACGCUGGCGGCAUGCCUUACACAUGCAAGUCGAACGGUAACAGGUCUUCGGAUGCUGACGAGUGGCGAACGGGUGAGUAAUACAUAGGCACGUGCCCGAUCCUGGGGGAUAACGAGGCGAAAGCUUUGCUAAUACCGCAUACGAGCUACGGAUGAAAGCGGGGGAUCUUCGGACCUCGCGAGGGCGGAGCGGCCACUGGCAGAUUAGGUAGUUGGUGGGAUAAAAGCUUACCAAGCCGACGAUCUGUAGCUGGUCUGAGAGGAUGAUCAGCCACACUGGGACUGAGACACGGCCCAGACUCCUACGGGAGGCAGCAGUGGGGAAUUUUGGACAAUGGGCGAAAGCCUGAUCCAGCCAUGCCGCGUGCAGGAUGAAGGCCUUCGGGUUGUAAACUGCUUUUGUACGGAAAGAAAAGCCUCUUUCUAAUAAAGAGAGGUCAUGACGGUACCGUAAGAAUAAGCACCGGCUAACUACGUG